rnacentral:rRNA from 1 species
GAUGAACGCUGGCGGCGUGCUUAACACAUGCAAGUCGAACGGAAAGGCCCGGCUUUUGCGGGGUGCUCGAGUGCCGAACGCGUGAGUAACACGCGAGGAAACUGCCCCUGACUUUGGGGUAACUUCAGGAAACUGGGGCUAAUACCCGAUAGGAGCUCCUGCUGCACGGUGGUGGUCGGAGAGUUUCGGCGGUUCGGGAUGGACUGGCGGCUUAUCAGCUUGUUGGUGGGGUAGGGGCUUACCAAGGUUUUGACGGAUAGCCGGCCUGGGAGGGUGACCAGGCACAUUAGGACUGAGAGACGGACCAGACGCCUACGGGAGGCAGCAGUGGAGAGUAUUGCACAGUAGGCGGGCGCCUGAUGCGGCAACGCCGCGUGCGUAAUACCGUCCUUCGGGUUGUGAACAGCUGUCGCCUGAGACGAAGCGUGCGUGACGGUACUGGGUAAAAAAGCACCGGCUAACUACGUG